CGCUUCACUCGUGGGACAUAACCGCAGGAGUGAGGGGAUAGAUGUACUGUGGGGAAGAUGCUGAGAUACAUCAGGGAGUGGCGAAGAUAGUGCUCCUGCAUCGAACGACUGUCGGGU
rnacentral:ncRNA from 1 species